AUUCCUACGGGAGGCAGCAGUGGGGAAUAUUGCACAAUGGGGGAAACCCUGAUGCAGCCAUGCCGCGUGUGUGAAGAAGGCCUUCGGGUUGUAAAGCACUUUCAGCGGGGAGGAAGGGUUGGUAGUUAAUACCUACUGGCUUUGACGUUACUCGCAGAAGAAGCACCGGCUAACUCCGUGCCAGCAGCCGCGGUAAUAAU
rnacentral:rRNA from 1 species